UUAAAUUUAUUCUAUAAAUGAUAGUUCAUUUAUGAGUGGUCAAGUUACUGGUGUCAUUGUCGGGGAGGUUUUGGCAAUAAAAUUUGAAAAUAAUUUUUUACAAUUAAUAAGAUAAGUAGGAACGCUAGGACCUAAAGAUACAAUUUUUAUUUUUUAUUUUUUUAUUUUCUUUCAGGUCGUUUAUGACCCGAAGCUCUAGCAUUCUGAUUCAAACUUACCUAGAUUCAGAGCAACUACUCAAGCGCAACCGUCAAUUAAUG
rnacentral:lncRNA from 1 species